UAAGCAAGCAAAGGAAUAAAAGCCAAAAAGCCAGAGAUACACAAAGUAUCACAAUAAUGGCUACCAACCAAAAGCUUCUUGUAGUGUUUUUUAUGGUUAUGGUUGCUCUCUCCACUACGCAAAAUGCUUAUGCUGAUCCUGAUAUCUUCAAUUUUCUAAAGAAGGUUGAUGACAGCAUAAAACCUACUAAAGAGUAUAGCAUAAGUCCGAAAGAUUUCGACAUGUUUGGUGGUGAUGUUCAAUUUCAGUCGAGGAAAUUAAAGGUUGUUCAGAAGUCUACCAUUCAACCGAGUAAUGGAUAUUUUGAUUGAUGACUAAGCUGGAAGAAUUAAGGCAUUUAAACCUCCUAUGUAAGAAAGCCAAGCAAAAGUGGCGAACAAGGGCAACCCAGGCAGUAGCAAGUAACUCCCAAGAUCAUUGGAGGUUUGUUGGUGGCAAGUUAACAAGUGGUGGAGAUUGGAGCUAGAAUAAUUCAAAUUCAAAAUUUAAUUUUGUACAAUAUAAUUUUUUUUUUUCACUACCAUAUGCAAUAUUUGUAGAUUAGUUAAUGAAAUUUGGUACUGUUUUUUGAUUUGUUAAUGUUACCACUUCCAUACAAUUGUCUAAUA